AUUGAACGCUGGCGGCAGGCUUAAAACAUGCAAGUCGAGCGAGCGGCGGACGGGUGAGUAAUGUCUGGGAAACUGCCUGAUGGAGGGGUAUAACUACUGGAAACGGUAGCUAAUACCGCAUACCAUCAGAUGUUCCCCGAUGGGAUUAGCUAGUAGGUGGGGUAAUGGCUCACCUAGGCGACGAUCCCUAGCAGGUCUGAGUGGAUGACCAGCCACACUGGAACUUAGACACGUUCCAGACUCCUACGGGAGGCAGCAGUGGGGAAUUAUGCACCAUGCGCGCAAGCCUGAUGCAGCCAUGCCGCGUGUGUGAAGAAGGCCUUCGGGUUGUAAAGCACUUUCCGCGAGGAGGCGAUACUCGCAGAAGAAGCACCGGCUCACUCCGUGCCAGCAGCCGAGGUAAUUC
rnacentral:rRNA from 1 species